AAUGUUAAGGGCGCAACGUCUACCAGCGACCUUGAUACACCUAUGGCUGACGUGACUACAAACCACACCCAGCGUCCAACAGAAGGAUCGACUACUGAACGACGGUCAUGCAAUAAUAGAUGAGCAAACAGAAUAACUCGAAAGGCGAUUGAGUGGACUGGUGCCGCAAAUUUGUUAUUUCUACUUAAAAACUAAAUUUGUUAUUCUAUCUAUACUUAAAUUCUCCUAUCUUGUUGCUUAAAUACUUAUAUGGUAAGACAUGCAGUGAAUUCGUUAUCCUAAUUGAAAUUAAUGCCUAGUUAUUUGCAAACAGGAAUUGAUAGAUAGCUAGAUUAGAGAAACCGAAGUAUCUAUUGAAAGUGCUAACCAAAGCUACGAGGUGAGAAGGAUUACGCCAUUCUAAACCAAAAAUGACUACUAAUUAAUACAAAUUGUAGGUUUUCUCUAUCUUAGCCCUUGAAAACAACGGCUAUAUUGUUGAGCGAUAGUGAAGAAGUUACUAUCGUAAGUAUUGAAAUUCCUCCUAGUUAACCUUAAUACUAAAGCAUAUUAUGUUGCCACAGGAAUUUUGUAAUUCGUCAAAUACAGUCUUCACAAAAUUGAGACUUCGUCUUCUAUCGCCAACAAAUUUACAAAAUUCGAUACGGGACACUAUGGCGAGUCAGAGCAGUUCUCAAAAGCGACGACAUGCGAAUGUUCCAUAUAGACCGGCCAACGAUGGGGAUGCGCAUGCGGCCAGCGGAAACCAUCCGGAUAUUGCUCAUCCGGAGACGGCAAGACUGUUGGAGAACGUCGUCCAGACUGAUUCAAGGAUUCAGCCGGAGCAGACAGUACCAUGCAAGGUAGUCCAGUACGAGUCUCAGCCGACGGUCAACGCAGCCCUCCCUUCUAGCCCUCAGGUAAUCGUUACCAGAACGGUGAGUACCGGCAAAGGAGCCAUCCCUAAGAUCCCCAAGACUAAAACGGCCACAAAGAAUAAAAGCAAACGAAAGUCAGUCUAUGUCACCAUUCGUAACGAUCCGUUUGUUAGGCGAAACCCCCCGCGCCGCGUUCGCGAAAACCGAGUCAGUAGUUGUGCACUGUGUAGUGAGCCCGAUAAUACAGCUAUGGUGCAGUGCGGCGAAUGUGGUUCGCGGUUUCAUCUUUCGUGUGUUGAAGUGAGUCAGUCAGCGGAGGAAAUAAGCUGGUCGUGCCCUGACUGUGCAAGUGCGUCCAAGAAAAAGACCCCCAGGCAAAUUUCGGCACCCGCGAUGCAAGGAGCCAGCGAGCAUCGUCAACAAUUUACUUCACCCCCCAGCAUAGUAGCUUCAUCCAAGUCGGCUGGCCAAUCAAGUAGGCGUAGCGAGCAUAGGAAAAUCGAACUACAGCUGCAGAAACUGGAGGAGGAGCGGGAAUGGCAUCAACAGUACCUGAAGCAGAAGUACAGCCUGCUGCAAGAACUGGAGAGUGAUACGUCAUCUAAGAUCAGCCACCAAGAUUCGAUGGAAGAGAAUGCGGCGAAAAUCGAGCAGUGGAUUCAAAACACGGAGAAUUGUGGAGACGAUUCUGGUCUUGUCGACGUAGAUCCGGAAGACGAACAUGUAUUGGCUAACGUACAGGAAGUUCAACGGCGGCGUAAGCGAGACCAAGAACUUCAAGGCGAACAGAACUGCGACAGACUCCAAAUCACACACCUGAUGAACAAGCUGCAAGUUGCAGAACGUCGUGCUCCGUCCAUAGUGAACAUGCCGGUGCAAAACAACUGCACGAAUCAUCGCGAUAGCAGAUAUCAACCCCCGCGUUCACAAAUCGGACUAGGGGACGCUGAUCGUAGACCAACAAAUAGCCUAAGAACUUUAGAGCCACAGCAAACUACAUCGGAAACGUUUCAGCAGAGUACCGGCAGAACCUUUGGUCCUCAAGUUCUACCAUCAGACCCAGUUCUAAACCAACGGCGAUCACAGUACAUUCCAACUUGUGAGCCGCGUCCACGAUCUGACAACCGUAGGGAAACCAGAUUCCUUACUACUGCUGUGGAUUUCGUUCCCGGACAGAGAUCCACUCCAGUCACCCAACCGCGAAGAAGAAUCCCCUCUGCAGAGCGCGAGAUUGAAGACGACGGUGCUGCCUACACAUUGAACCGAAGUCAAUUAGCUGCUAGGCAGGCAGUAUCCAGAGAUUUGCCAGACUUCAAUGGCAAUCCAGAAGAUUGGCCGCUCUUCUUUUCGAUGUUCGUUUCGUCCACUCAGCUUUGUGGAUUCUCAAACGAGGAAAACAUGCUGAGGCUUCGGAAGUGCCUCAAAGGAAAGGCACUGGAUGCCGUUAAGUGCCGUAUGCUUCAUCCGUCAAACGUUCAGGGAGUGAUUUCCACCCUCAGGAUGCUGUAUGGACGGCCUGAAAUCAUCAUUCAGGCAAUUGUUAGGAAGAUUCGCUCGUUACCAUCUCCCAGCAUCGAAAAACUGGACACCGUGAUCCAGUUUGCCCUCAGCGUAGAGAAUCUAGUUGCGACGGUGGAAGCCUGUGAGAUAGGUGACUUUAUGUAUAACAUCUCGCUAAGGUACGAGUUGGUGGAAAGGUUGCCACCAACGUUAAAACUGGAUUGGGCACGGUUUUCUCGGAAUGAACCCAAUCCAAACCUCCUAGACUUCAGCUCGUGGCUUCGUUUUGUAGCCGAGGAUGCCAGCGCUGUUUCUAUUUCCAUAGAUGGCGACCACCGAGCCAGAACGGCGAAAAAAGAUGGGUUUCUGAAUCUUCACUCCGAGGAUAGCCAACAGUCGUUGAAGAAACCAUCAAUCGCUUCGGUGAGCAGUAAACUUCCGAAUUCGAAAGAGUACGUCAAAGAGUGCGUUGGGUGCAAAGGAAGCUGUCUGACGUUGGCGCAAUGUAAACGCUUCAAGGAGCUUAGUUACGAUUCGAAAUGGGCAGUUGUGCGAGAAUUUAGCAUCUGUCGAAAGUGCCUGCGGAAGCACAACGGCCCGUGCAAGCAGAAAAAGGAAUGCGGCACCAAUGGUUGCUCCUAUCUACAUCAUCCUCUCCUACACGAUGCAGAACGACACACGGCUGCGGCAUCUCAGGUUCCGGUCCGGUCCACCGAAACCCAACGGAAUCAAACCACAAAUACCAGCUGUAAUGUACACCAAGGACAGUCCGAGAUCUUGUUCAGAAUCGUACCAGUGCUUCUGUACGGUCCAUCGAAGGUGGUACGAACCUACGCCUUCUUAGAUGACGGCUCGGAACUAACGCUGAUGGAGCAGAGCUUGGCGAACGAACUAGGAGUGCAGGGACCGCAAAAUUCUCUAUGUCUACGAUGGACCGGUGGCACUAACAGGACCGAAGCUCUGUCACAGAAAGUAAACUUCCAGAUUUCCAGCGUUACGAGUCCCUUCAAGAAGUUCAGGCUCGGCGAAGUGCACACAGUUGAGAAUUUACAGCUCCGACCACAAACGAUGCUAGUGGACGAGAUGCAGGGGAAGUACCAGUAUCUGAAGGGAUUACCUGUGGAAUCCUACCAAGAGGUCAGCCCAAGACUUCUCAUUGGGCUGGAUCAUGCGAGUCUAGGUAACGUGAUGAAAUGUCGCGAAGGCAAGCCGAACGAACCCAUAGCGGUGAAGACUCGCCUGGGUUGGAUGAUUUUCGGAUGCUGUUCCCGCACCACAACCAGUGUCAACCACAUCAAUCACCAUCGUGUCCAACUUUGUCAAUGCGAAAGCAACUCGAACGAGGAGCUACAUGAGGCUAUGAAGCAGUAUUUUUCGCUGGAAAGCAUGGGUAUCAGCAAGCCCAGUAAACUUCUGUUAUCCAACGAAGAUCAUAGGGCGAAUGAACUGUUGGAAACUCUGACCAGAAACACAAACGGACGCUACGAAUGCGGUCUUCUAUGGCGAUACGACAACGUUCGGCUUCCGGACAGCAAGCCUAUGGCACUACGUCGAUGGGAAUGUCUAGAUCGUCGGAUGCAGAGGGACGAUGACCUUGCGCAAGUUCUCAAUGCGAAGAUAAAUGACUACUUGGCGAAAGGCUACAUCAGGAAGCUAACCGCGGAGGAAUUGGAGUCACCUUGCAACCGAGUCUGGUACUUACCAAUCUUUCCGGUAGUAAACCCUAACAAACCAGGCAAAAUCAGACUUGUCUGGGAUGCAGCCGCGAAGAUCCAUGGAGUCUGCCUUAAUUCGGUGCUUCUUAAGGGCCCUGAUCUACUGGUUUCUCUCCUGUCAGUCUUAGUACGGUUCCGUGAGUUUCGUGUGGCGGUUUCUGGUGACAUCAGAGAAAUGUACCAUCAGGUGCUGAUGAGACCGGCGGACCAGCAUUGUUUACGCUUUCUUUGGAAGGAUAACGAAGAUGCCACAGCCCCCAGCACAUACGUCAUGCAAGUGAUGUCCUUCGGUGCGUGCUGCUCUCCAAGCACAGCACAAUACGUUAAGAACACACAUGCCAAGAAAUUCGAGCAAGAGUUUCCUGAAGCUGUUCACGCCAUCGUUCAUGACCACUACGUCGAUGACAUGCUGAUCAGUGUCGAAACGGAGGAGAAGGCGAUCCAGCUAGCAACGGAAGUAAAAGGGAUCCACGAACGUGGAGGUUUUGAAAUGAGAAACUGGGUAUCCAACGCACCAGCGGUAGUUGCCGCACUGGACGGAGAGAAAACCGACGGGAAAAACCUGAGCAUCGGAGAAACAGACACCACUGAGAAGGUGCUCGGAAUGUGGUGGGAUACCACAGCAGACUGUUUCACAUACAAGCUAUCUUCCCGCCACGACGCUGAUCUGUUGUCUGGCCGCAAACGACCAACGAAGCGUGAAGUUUUAAGGACCCUUAUGAUGGUGUUCGACCCUCUCGGGCUGAUCAGCCACUUCCUGAUGUUUCUUCGAAGCCUUUUACAGGAGAUCUGGAGAGCAUCCGUCGACUGGGACGAGCAAAUCCACGAUUGUCACUUUGAGAAGUGGCUCGUAUGGCUGCGGUUUCUUCCUCGUGUAGCGGACAUCAAGAUUCCUCGUUGCUACCGGACCGUCACGUCUGCUGAAGAAGGAACCAUUGUCCAAAUGCAUACUUUUGUGGACGCCAGCGAGAACGGCUUCGCGGCAGUCGUCUACCUCCGUUUCCAGGAGGGAAAUACAGUUGAGUGCGCUCUAGCAGGAGCCAAAACCCGGGUGGCGCCGUUGAAGUUCCUCUCUAUACCCCGAUCCGAACUGCAAGCAGCAGUUAUUGGGACCAGGUUAGCAGAUUCUAUCCAGGAGUCCCUCUCGAUUAAGGUUCAAAGGCGAUUCUUUUGGACUGAUUCCCGGGACGUCAUGUGCUGGCUACACUCGGAUCAUCGACGUUAUAGUCAGUACGUAGGUGUCCGAAUCAGCGAGGUCCUAGAAACCACGGCCCUACGAGAUUGGCGGUGGGUUCCUACUAAAUUGAACGUAGCUGACGAUGGUACCAAAUGGAAAGGUUCUCCUGACUUCAGCGCCUCUAGCCGGUGGUUUCAUGGACCUGAAUUUCUUCGGGAACCGGAAGAGAAAUGGCCUAUCUCUCCUCAGCCUGUCAAAACCACUGUCACGGAGCUGCGUCCACAUCUGCACCUCCACUUCAAGACCCUCGAGUCAAUAAUUGAUACAAGCAGAUUCAGUCGAUGGCUUUGUCUACUGAAGACUACGGCGUAUGUAUUCAGAGCCAUUAGAAACAUGCAGCGAACUAUACGACAAUCACCCAAAGCUUAUGGACCGCUUUCUCGUGAUGAGCUCAUCAUGGCCGAAUCCUACCUGUACCAAAUAGCCCAGAGAUGUACGUAUGAAGAUGAGAUAGCAAUUCUAUCUACAAAACAAGAACCCUCCUCAAAGGAAAUCUCAAGAAGCAGUUCGUUGUACCGCCUCUGCCCAUUCAUGGAUGAAAAGGGAGUUCUGAGGAUCCGCGGGCGUACCAGUGCCUGCCAAUUCAUCGACAACAGCAUCGUCAAUCCAAUCAUUUUACCUCGGGAGCACAGCGUCACAAAGCUCAUCGUAUUGGACGUUCAUCAGAGAUUCCUGCAUCAGAAUCACGAAACCGCCAUCAACGAGCUGAAACAACGCUACUAUAUUUCCCGUCUGAAAGCGGUCUACAAAUCGGUCCGGAACAACUGCCAAGUCUGUAAAAACGAACGAGCUUGUCCAGAGGCGCCACUGAUGAGUGACUUGCCGCAUGCGCGCCUCGCAGCUUAUAGUCGACCUUUCAGCCACAUGGGGGUGGACUACUUCGGCCCAAUGAUGGUAACCGUUGGCCGCCGAGUGGAGAAACGCUGGGGGGUCUUGGCUACUUGUCUGACUGUUCGUGCCAUCCAUUUGGAGAUCGCACACUCACUCACUACUGACUCGUGUAUCAUGGCCUUGCGCAACAUAAUUGGCAGAAGGGGGGUACCAGUUGCCAUUUACAGCGACCGUGGUACUAACUUUGUGGGGGCUAGCAAAGAGCUAACGACCGCACUUGAAGAAUUGGAGCACGACAAAAUCGUGGCAGAAUUCACUUCGCCGCAUACGACGUGGAUUUUCAUCCCACCCUUGUCCCCGCAUAUGGGCGGAGCCUGGGAGAGGCUGAUUCGAUCGGUCAAGCAAAACCUAGAGAAGCUUAAACCUCACCGUAUACCGUCAGACGAAACGCUACGAAACAUACUGACAGAAGUGGAGUACCUAGUAAAUUCAAGGCCUUUGACCGAAAUUCCACUGGACGACGAUCAAUCUCCCGUAUUGACGCCAAAUCACUUCAUUAUGGGGUCGUCGAAUGGAGCGCUUCCGUGGACCAGCUUUGAUGACAACCCUGUCCGACUAAAACUUAAUUGGAAACUUUCGCAGAGCGCAACCAACCAGUUCUGGAAGCAAUGGGUGCACGACUACCUCCCGACUUUGACCCGCAGAGCGAAAUGGUUUGCGGCCGUUAAGCCAAUCGAGAUCAAUGAUAUCGUGGUCAUCGUCGACACAAAUUUCCCCCGCAGCUGCUGGCCUAAGGGACGAGUCAUAGCCACCAAAGUCGCACCAGACGGCCAAGUUAGGCAGGCUACGGUGCAAACUGCUAACGGGAUAUAUGAGCGACCAGUCAUCAAGCUCGCAGUGCUCGACGUUGGCGUAGGUGGAAAUGCAACUCAGAGAGAACUUCGGCGCAUUGAAGGGGGGAAUGUUAAGGGCGCAACGUCUACCAGCGACCUUGAUACACCUAUGGCUGACGUGACUACAAACCACACCCAGCGUCCAACAGAAGGAUCGACUACUGAACGACGGUCAUGCAAUAAUAGAUGAGCAAACAGAAUAACUCGAAAGGCGAUUGAGUGGACUGGUGCCGCAAAUUUGUUAUUUCUACUUAAAAACUAAAUUUGUUAUUCUAUCUAUACUUAAAUUCUCCUAUCUUGUUGCUUAAAUACUUAUAUGGUAAGACAUGCAGUGAAUUCGUUAUCCUAAUUGAAAUUAAUGCCUAGUUAUUUGCAAACAGGAAUUGAUAGAUAGCUAGAUUAGAGAAACCGAAGUAUCUAUUGAAAGUGCUAACCAAAGCUACGAGGUUUUCUCUAUCUUAGCCCUUGAAAACAACGGCUAUAUUGUUGAGCGAUAGUGAAGAAGUUACUAUCGAAUUUUGUAAUUCGUCAAAUACAGUCUUCACAAAAUUGAGACUUCGUCUUCUAUCGCCAACAACCAAGAAACAUCAAACUCCUCAUUUAUAGUCCUCUUGGCGCCUGAAAAAUUAAUAAGAUUCGAGUUAUACA